GAAGACUAAAUCUUUCUUGUGUGUGUAUGUGGCCGUGUGCACCAAGCAUGUGUGUGUGUGUGUGUGGGUUUGUGUAUGAACAUAAUAUGCAUGUGAGUGUUUCAGUUCUACUUAAUUAACUCUCUUAGCUCACAGUUUAAUAACACUUAUUUAAACAUAGCUGACCUGCUCCAACAACUGGAUCCCUUUCUGUACAAAACAGAUGAGUGUCUCCAUGGGAACCAUGGCCUCCUCCUCCAUAUUUGUCAGGAGUAAACAGUAGUUUCAAUGUCUCCACUCGCUGCACCUCAUGGAGAAGAGGGAGACCUAUGUACAUUUGCAGAUUUUGGAUCUCUAGCAGGAGUCUCCAAAAUAUCCAGCGCAGCACGGCCAAGUGGUUUUAACACAAAGACACUGCCAGGUGUUGCAGCUCUGGCCCCCUGCCCCCCUGCCUCCUCCCAUCUAAGGAAGAGCAGAAGCCAAUUGCAUUCAAGACCCAACACCUGCUUUCCUGAGUGAUGCAACCCUACCUCGAGAAACCUAUUCAGAUGAAUGACGUGCAUCCCUGCGAACUAUGGGUGGAUGUUAAGAGGAUGCUGAAAUCCACAGACUGACCCCCUAAGCCUGUCUCUGAACAGUUGACUGUACAGUUUGAUCACAAAGAAAUCAAAAAGAAGUUAACAAAAUAUGGCGAUGCUCAGCGGUGGAAAGCCAUCA